rnacentral:rRNA from 1 species
GACGAACGCUGGCGGCGUGCCUAAUACAUGCAAGUAGAACGCACAGUUUAUACCGUAGCUUGCUACACCAUAAACUGUGAGUUGCGAACGGGUGAGUAACGCGUAGGUAACCUGCCUGGUAGCGGGGGAUAACUAUUGGAAACGAUAGCUAAUACCGCAUAAUAUUGAUUAUUGCAUGAUAAUUGAUUGAAAGAUGCUAUUGCAUCACUACCAGAUGGACCUGCGUUGUAUUAGCUAGUAGGUGAGGUAACGGCUCACCUAGGCGACGAUACAUAGCCGACCUGAGAGGGUGAGAGGCCACACUGGGACUGAGACACGGCCCAGACUCCUACGGAAGGCAGCAGUAGGGAAGCUUCGGCAAUGGACGAAAGUCUGACCGAGAAACGCCGCGGGAGUGAAGGAGGUUUUCGGAUCGUAAAGAUCUGUUGUAAGAGAAGAACGGGUGUGAGAGUGGAAAGUUCACACUGUGACGGUAUCUUACCAGAAAGGGACGGCUAACUACGUG